UACGGAGGGUGCGAGCGUUGUCCGGAAUCACUGGGCGUAAAGGGCGCGUCGGCGGCCUGAUAAGUAGGGGGUGAAAUCUUGCGGCUUAACCGCAAGGCUGCCUUCUAAACUGUCGGGCUAGAGCACAGUAGAGGCAGGUGGAAUUCCCGGUGUAGCGGUGGAAUGCGUAGAUAUCGGGAGGAACACCGGUGGCGAAGGCGGCGACCUGGGACGAUACUGACGCUGAGGUGCGAAAGCGUGGGGAGCAAACAGG
rnacentral:rRNA from 1 species